GUCAGUGGAGUCCUCUCUCAU
rnacentral:misc_RNA from 1 species